UACGGAGGGUGCAAGCGUUAUCCGGAUUCACUGGGUUUAAAGGGUGCGUAGGAGGGCAGGUAAGUCAGUGGUGAAAUCCUAGAGCUUAACUCUAGAGCUGCCGUUGAUACUAUCUGUCUUGAAUAUUGUGGAGGUGAGCGGAAUAUGUCAUGUAGCGGUGAAAUGCUUAGAUAUGACAUAGAACACCAAUUGCGAAGGCAGCUCGCUACACAUAUAUUGACUCUGAGGCACGAAAGCGUGGGGAUCAAACAGG
rnacentral:rRNA from 1 species